rnacentral:rRNA from 1 species
CCUUAACCAUGCAGUCGAACGGUGAGCCCAGCUUGCUGGGUGGAUCAGUGGCGAACGGGUGAGUAACACGUGAGCAACCUGCCCUUCACUUCGGGAUAAGCCUUGGAAACGGGGUCUAAUACCGGAUAUGAGCGCUCAUCGCAUGGUGGGUGUUGGAAAGUUUUUCGGUGAGGGAUGGGCUCGCGGCCUAUCAGCUUGUUGGUGGGGUAACGGCCUACCAAGGCGUCGACGGGUAGCCGGCCUGAGAGGGCGACCGGCCACACUGGGACUGAGACACGGCCCAGACUCCUACGGGAGGCAGCAGUGGGGAAUAUUGCACAAUGGGCGAAAGCCUGAUGCAGCGACGCCGCGUGAGGGAUGACGGCCUUCGGGUUGUAAACCUCUUUCAGCAGGGAAGAAGCGCAAGUGACGGUACCUGCAGAAGAAGCGCCGGCUAACUACGUGCCAGCAGCCGCGGUAAUACGUAGGGCGCAAGCGUUGUCCGGAAUUAUUGGGCGUAAAGAGCUCGUAGGCGGUCUGUCGCGUCUGGUGUGAAAUCCCAUGGCUCAACUGUGGGCUUGCAUCGGGUACGGCAGACUAGAGUGCUGUAGGGGAGACUGGAAUUCCUGGUGUAGCGGUGGAAUGCGCAGAUAUCAGGAGGAACACCGAUGGCGAAGGCAGGUCUCUGGGCAGUUACUGACGCUGAGGAGCGAAAGCAUGGGAGCGAACAGGAUUAGAUACCCUGGUAGUCCAUGCCGUAAACGUUGGGCACUAGGUGUGGGGCCAGUUCCACUGGUUCUGUGCCGUAGCUAACGCAUUAAGUGCCCCGCCUGGGGAGUACGGCCGCAAGGCUAAAACUCAAAGGAAUUGACGGGGGCCCGCACAAGCGGCGGAGCAUGCGGAUUAAUUCGAUGCAACGCGAAGAACCUUACCAAGGCUUGACAUGUACGAGAAAGCCCCAGAGAUGGGGUUCUCUUUGGACACUCGUACACAGGUGGUGCAUGGUUGUCGUCAGCUCGUGUCGUGAGAUGUUGGGUUAAGUCCCGCAACGAGCGCAACCCUUGUCCCAUGUUGCCAGCGGGUUAUGCCGGGGACUCAUGGGAGACUGCCGGGGUCAACUCGGAGGAAGGUGGGGAUGACGUCAAAUCAUCAUGCCCCUUAUGUCUUGGGCUUCACGCAUGCUACAAUGGCCGGUACAGAGGGCUGCGAUACCGUGAGGUGGAGCGAAUCCCAAAAAGCCGGUCUCAGUUCGGAUCGGGGUCUGCAACUCGACCCCGUGAAGUCGGAGUCGCUAGUAAUCGCAGAUCAGCAACGCUGCGGUGAAUACGUUCCCGGGCCUUGUACACACCGCCCGUCAAGUCACGAAAGUUGGUAACACCCGAAGCUCACGGCCCAACCCCUUGUGGGAGGGAGUGGUCGAAGGU